UAAGACGUAGGAUGCGAGCGUUGUCCGGAUUUAUUGGGCGUAAAGAGUUCGUAGGUGGUUCGUUAAGUCUGGUGUUAAAGACUGGGGCUCAACCCUGGGAGUGCAUUGGAUACUGGCGGACUGGAGUGCAGUAGAGGCAAGCGGAAUUCCAGGUGUAGCGGUGAAAUGCGUAGAUAUCUGGAAGAACACCGGUGGCGCAAGCGGCUUGCUGGGCUGUAACUGACGCUGAGGAACGAAAGCUAGGGGAGCGAAUGGGAUUAGAUACCCCAGUAGUCCUAGCCGUAAACGAUGGAUACUAGGCGUAUCGGGUAUCGACCCCUGAUGUGCCGCAGCAAACGCGAUAAGUAUCCCGCCUGAGUAGUACGGCCGCAAGGUUG
rnacentral:rRNA from 1 species